rfam:Taylorella equigenitalis MCE9, complete genome.
UUCUCUAGAGUGACUUAAUUUUAAGUUUUUGCUACAAUUAAUCUUAAGCUGUAUAUCUGAUUGACUGAAUUAUUUUUGGACGCGGGUUCGACUCCCGCCGUCUCCACCAAUAGGGCAUUUGGCUUAAGUGUUUUAUUGGCGGGGACGUAUUGGCUUCGACAGGGAUAACUAGGAAAAUUGGCAGUCGGUAGGCGAUGACCGUAAAUCAAGCACAUCAAUAAAUGCUAACGAUGAAAACUUUGCAUUGGCAGCUUAAUUAAAAAGCUCCCAGGAGUGUGAUUCACUUUGCAACAGAAAGAAUCAAGGCAGCUUCGGCUGCCUUUUUUA